AAACAUCCUUAGUAAAAUAUUAGCAAGACCAGGGAUCAUGGCGGAUGGGAGGCAGGACUAGGUUGCAGCUCCGGACAGAGCAGCGUGCUGAGGCUUGCAUUGUGAAUUUUAGCCCCAGGUCGACUGCAAGAACAAACCAGCAAUCCUGAGAGGACCCACAGACCCUCUGAAGGAAGUGGACUGCUCCUGCAGGACCCAGGAGACACCCCAAAUACUGAACUAUGUACUGAAGAUUUGGGGGCAAAAGAGGACCACAUCUGCAACUAACUGGAGAUGGUUCAGAAGAUGAUGCACACACACUCAAGCAUAUCGAGAGAGAAAGGGGCAGAGGACACAGAAGGCCCUGAGUUUAAUGUGCAUGUUUUGGGGAAUUUGGAAGAAGAGCCCCUGAUAAUUCAUCCUUCAUUAUUCUUGCAACUUUUCUCUAAAUCUGAAAUUAUAUUAAAAUAUAAAGUUAGAAGAAAACAUGAA
rnacentral:lncRNA from 10 species